AUGCACCGGGGCUUCGGGGAUGCAAGCAGCAGAGCGCAGAUCGGACACAUGCUUCAGGCCCAUAGGAGCGAUCACCGCGUCCAGGAUUUUGUCUUUCAGCACCCUAGAUUUGAGCCUGGGAGAGCAGCCGGACAGCGCAUCCUUGAGCGCGCGGAGCUUGAUCGCCUUCGACUCCACGCUAACCCAGGUAGGGGCCUCCUUCCCAGCCAGACGUGCACUGCGGCGAUGCUUGCCCCCGUCGAGAGGGGCGGCCGAUGGCACAAGACAGCGCUCCACCGGCUCAGGCUCGCAGAUCUUCGUAAUGGAGAGCCGGGAGAGAGGGCUGGCCGAUCCAGAGGGGAACGGGGAGCCGGAGACACGGGGGACGGCCCAAGGAGGGGAGCAGUGGACGAAUCCAACCCCCCCACCCGCUGCAGGAGGAGGGAGAGGAGGAGCCCCAGCACCCGCAGCACGGAGGCCAGCUGGCGGCCGCCACCACGACCACGCCCACGAGCUGAACCCAAGACGGCGCCAGCCCCUCGACCACGCCCCAGCGGAUGCCCAUGCAGAGCAGGGUGGUUGUGGGCGAAGGGAGGGGGCAGCGUGCGGAAGAAGUUGAUGUACUGGCCGUCCCUGGUGUAG
rnacentral:rRNA from 1 species